GCUAGAUUGCUCUGGCCAAUAGUGUGAAUAAGUAUGUAAAUGGAUAGAGACAGGGAAGCAAACACAAGAUGUACGUGGUUCACCCAGAUUGGUUAUGUCUACGGAGUAGAGGAGUUCUCAUUAAUUAUGAAAGGUUUACACAAGUACAUAGGUUCAAGCUCUCCUUUAGUGAGUUCUAGUGAAUUAUUUAUUACAAAUGAUAUUAGGAAAUAUUGUGGGAGAAUGAUCUCCUUUUAUAGAAGAUAGUUUCUAGCUUGUUCUAACAUUGACACGUGUCGUGUUGUGAUUGGCUUCCGAUGUUGACACAUGUCGUGCUAUGAUUGGCUUCUGAUGUAGACACGUGUCGCACUAUGAUUGGCCUCUUGGUUGGAGGGAAACUCCUAUGGGUCCUUGACGGUAUAACGUUGACCAGAGCUCGGUAGUUUCAGGAUUGGUCAAGUAUGGUACAAACAGUGGUCCCCUAAGUUCCCGAGUGAGGAAAGCUCUUCGGUAGGGGACUUGCAAGAUCCACGCCGCUGAGUAAUCACGAAACUUCUAAGUACCGCAGUGUGGUAUUGUCUUCACUUGCCUUUUCUGUCUCAUAGGUAGAUGUGGCAUCUUCUUUGGAAGUACUUUUCCUUCAUACAAGGGUGGUAUCUUUAACCGGUAGGGAUGCACAAGGUAAUGUAUCAAUUUCAUUUGAAGCUUACUUGUAGUUUCAGGCUUGGUCAAGCGCGAUACAAACCAUGUAGUAGGAGUCCCCCAAGUCGCCGAGCUAGGAGAUCUGCCAAAAGAGGUGACAGACAAGGUAAGCAAUCAGAGCUCUCAUCAAUCAAUCCCAGAUCAGAAGUUUGAUUUCGAGUUCUGGCUGAUUGUUCUCAUUCUCCCUAUCUUACAAGCAGCAUGAAGGAUAAAGAGAAGAAAAAUGAGAAGAGAUGAUAUGAGAUACUUUAGCUUUUGAAGAAAUAACUUUCCACAGGCUUAUUCUUGAACUAGGCUAGAGGGUUUUCUGGUUUCCUCCAGAGAAUAAGGCCGACUCAAGAAUUUGAGGGUCAAAACAAGUCCAUGAAAUCAAAAGUGCAUUCGACCUUGAUGAUACGGGAUACCUUUGCUGUUGACAAAGUAAUAGAUGAAUCGGCACAUGUUCUUUUACGCUUGUCUCCACAUGCUUCCUUGUAUCCUUCUCACUUGCCUUAUCUGUUCCCUAGGAAGAUGUGGUAUCUUUUCUGGAAGCAUAAGAUGUUGAAGAUGAGUACUCAAGAGCAAUGCCAGGUAAGUAAUCAGGCAAGGAGUUCUAGGCAGUCAGUUCCUAACUGGAAGCUUGAUUCCAAGUGCUGACUGAUUGCCCUAUUUCUCCUUGUCUUGCAGGUAAGAACAAUGGCAAAGGAAAAGAUAGGGAAAAAGUAUGAUAUGGGAAACUCUUGCUUUUAACCCUGAUGAUAUGAGAUACUCUUGCUCUGGUGUAGCUUGUUUGCUGAGGUAUUAUCGGGGGGAAAAUAAAUUGAGUAUUUUGAGAGACUCUGCUAAGUGUGCCCUCUCGGAUGUAAAGAAAAGUUGAGCAUUUUUUUAUUUGCAGAUCUGCUUGGCUGUGGAGGAUGAAGGUCGACAUAUAUAGGAAUUGUCCCAAUAGCGAGUGGUAACGCUGUUCCUUUACCCUUCUCGGUCAUAUCAAUGUAGUGGGAGCUGCAAGAUUCAUGUGUUUUAACUUUGUCAGAGCACUUUGAAAAAGUGGUCUGUGGUAUCUGGAAAGCUGAUGUUGCGUGUGAAGAUUGCAAACAAGCUUUAUCCAAGGAAAUCUGGCUCUCGAAGUUCGGAAAGCGAUGCCUCUUCGGUUUUUGAACAAGCAAUCCUGUCAGGGAUCUAGCUCUCAAGAUUCGGAGAACGGUGCCUCUUCGAUUUUUGAGAAACCAAUCUUGUUGGGAGUCUGUCUUUCGAGAUUCGGAGAGCGGUGCCUUUUCGAUUUUAAAGAAAGCAAUCCUGUUGGGAGUUUAUCUUUCGAGAUUCAGAGAACGGUGCCUCUUCGAUUUUUGAGAAAGCAAUCCUGUUGAGACUCUGGCUCUUGAGAUUCAGAGAGCGGUGCCUAUUUGAUUUUUGAGCAAGCAAUCCUGUUGGGAGUGUUUUCUCAAAUGUGAGUAAAGGUUGGGCAUUUUUGCCAGUCUGCCUUGCCACGGAGCACAGAGGUUGACACACAUAGAGACUUUCCAGUUAUCAAGCAGUGGUGCUGUUCCUUUACUCUUGUAGGUAAUGGUAGGGUAUCUGGACCUUCAAAAUUUAUGUGUCUAAACUUUAUCAGAGAUCUUUGGCAAAGUUAUCUGUGGUACCUGAGGAGCUGAUGUUGCGUGUGGGGAUUAACGACAUAUUUUACUUAGGAAAAUCUGCUUCUCAAAAUCCGGAGAGUGGUACCUCUUCGAUUUUUGAACCAACGGCCAUGUUGCCAUUUUUUUAUAGGGGAACCAAUUGUGUGCAAAAAGUAUGUUCAGAGAGUUAUUGCUUGUAGAAAAUUUCCCCCUAUUUUUGUACUUCAGAGAUUUAUUACACCUCAUUUCUCCUUCAUCAUUUCUGAGAAUGUCUGGCCCAUCCAACCGUCGUUUUAACUUGAACUUUGGUGAAAGGGUAGCCAUGCCUUCUCAAGACAACAUAUGGCGCCCAUCCUUCUUAUCCCUUACUGGUCAUCAUACUGUUGGGGACUCUAUGAUGAAGAAUGAUAUGACCGCUGUGGUGGUGGCCAGGAACCUUUUCACUCCCAAAGAUAACAAACUACUUUCCAAACAGUCUGAUGAGUUGGCUGUUAAGGAUUCUCUGGCUCUCAGUGUUCAAUGUGUAGGUUCUGUGUCUAAUAUGGCCCAACGCCUAUUUGCUCGAACCUGCCAAGUUGAAUCAUUGGCGGCUAAAGUGAUAAGUCUCAAACAGGAGAUCAGAGGGAUCAAACAUGAGAAUAAACAGUUGCACAGGCUCGCACAUGACUAUGCUAUAAACAUGAAGAGGAAGCUGGACCAGUUGCAGGAAUUUGAUAGUCAGAUUUUACUUGAUCAUCAGAGGUCUGUGGGUUUGUUCCAAAGGCAUUUAUUGCCUUCGUCUUCUGGGGCUGUACUGCGUAAUGAAGCUCCAAAUGAUUAACCUUAUGUGCCUUUUCCUUCUAGGGUUCUGCCUAGUAUUGAGGCUCCGAAUGAUCACCCUUCGGUGCCUUCUCUUUCUAGGGCUCUGUCGACUGUUGAGACUUCUCAUGAACAACCUUUGUGAAGGCUCCCUCUUGUUUGUUUAUUUUGAUUCAUGUAUAUGUACAUAUUUGUAACUUAUAAGAGAUAUCAAUAAAUAAGCUUUGCUUCAUUUCAACGUAUUGUGUUAAAUACACCAAAGCCUUCUUCACUAAGUUCUUUGAAUUUUUCCUUUUGUUGAAGCUUGUAUGUUGAAGCUUUGUGAGUGAAGCAUGUUGGUUGAGGUAGGGCUCCCUUAAUUUCCUGAGUGAGGAAAACUUCUCGGUUGGAGACUUGAAAAAUCCAAGUCACUGAGUGGUUGUGAGACUUCCGAGUAUCAAGGUGCAGUAGCAUAUGGUAAGAGUCCCCCAAGUCUCCGGUCGAGGGAGUUGACAAAUGAGGCAUUUCCUUUCUAAGUGGUAGCACAAAACUCCUCCUUUAUAUAUAUUUGUUAUGAAAGUUGUUAGGACCAAAGAAAAGGAGGCCUAGGCAAUUUUUUUUUUCGAUUUUUUUUUCUUCAAAUUAUAUAUAUAUAUAUAUAUAUAUAUAUAUAUAUUUAAGCUUUGUAGGUGCAGCUUUAAGGUUGAAGCUUUGUUGGGUACCAUGAAUUGAUUUUGCUUCACACUAUCUUGAUCAAGAGUGUGUGAAGCUUUUGUAGGUGAAGCUUUUAUGGGUGAGGCUUUUGUAGGUGAAGCUUUUGUGGGUUUUGUGGGUGAAGCUUUUGUGGGUGAAGCUUUUUGUAGGUGAAGCUUUUGUGGGUGAAGCUUUUUGUGGGUGAAGCUUUUUGUAGGUGAAGCUUUUGGUGGGUGAAGGUUUGGUGGGUGAAGCUUUUGUAGGUCAAGCUUUUGUGGGUGAAGCUUUUGGUGGGUGAAGCUUUUGGGGGUGAAGCUUUUGGUGGGUGAAGGUUUGGUGGGUGAAGCUUUUGUAGGUCAAGCUUUUGUGGGUGAAGCUUUUGGUGGGUGAAGCUUUUGGGGGUGAAGCUUUUGGUGGGUGAAGCUUUUGUGGGUGAAGCUUUUGUGUUGAAGCUUUUGUGGGUGAAGCUUUUGUGGGUGAAGCUUUUGGUGGGUGAAGCUUUUGUGUUGAAGCUUUUGGUGGGUGAAGCUUUUAUGUUGAAGCUUUUGUGGGUGAAGCUUUUGGUGGGUGAAGCUUUUGUGUUGAAGCUUUGUAGGUGAAGCUUUUGUGUUGAAGCUUUGUAGGUGAAGCUUUGGAGUUGAAGCUUUUGUAGGUGAAGCUUUGGAGUUGAAACUUUUGUUGGGUACCAUGAAUUGAUUUUGCUUCACACUAUCUUGAUCAAGAUAGUGUGAAGCUUAUGUGAAUUUGUAGUUGUCCUCCAUUGGUGAAGCUUUGUUGAAUUUCCCAAUUUCCUUUUUUUUUUUUUGGGAAAUUAGAAAUUUGAAAAUGUGGGAGAGACAACAUAUACAAAUUUUGCUUCCACACUGUUGAGCAAGAGAUUGUGAUGCAAGCCACACCUUGUAGUAGUCGAAGGUUUGGAUGAACCAUAUAAAUUGAAUUUGCUUCGAACAGUCUUCAUCAAGAGUGUGUAAAGCUUUCUACAAGUUGUGAUAUGAGCAUAUUUAUGCAACUUAGUGAGCUUGUUCUUGUGCAUUUACGUUGUGUUUUCUUAGUUAAGUUAGUCUUUUAAGCCAUUUUCUUGUGUUUUCAGGUUUUAAGGGCAAAGUAUGCAAAGUAGUGCAUUUUGGAGCGUUUUGGAGAAAAAUUGAGCUUGGAAUGGAUAUCACAUGCUUGGAGCAAAAUGAGUAUACGAAAUUGAAGAUUUGAAGAUGUGAGGAGUCCUAAUUGAAGAAGGAUUCCUAAUCAACGAAGGAGUCCUAAUUGAAGAAGGAUUCCUAAUCAACGAAGAGUAUAAUUGAAGAAGGAUUCCUAAUCAAAUAUGGAUUCCUAGAAGAAUGAGGAUUCCUACUCAAACAAGGUUUCCUACUUAAAGUAGGAAAGUUAAGCCUAAAGUUUCCUAUUUUGGAUUGAUCUUUCCUAAACCUAGAUGACCUUAAGUUCCAGCAACAUUGAAGGUUUCCUAAGCAUUUUUGGACACAAAGAAAGGUUCUAGAACACCUCUCAUAUACAUCAUUCACGCCAGGAAACACUUCUCCCCUUCUCUGCCGCAGCCAUCACCACCAAUUCUCCAUAGUUCCUGACCAAAAUCACCCCUUGCCGCACCUUCCAUCCAUCCUAAACACUACCAUACCAUCUCCCAUCCAUUAUUCCAUACAUAUAACCCCCAAAAUAUGUCCCCAAGCCUUGUGACGCAACAAAGAGGAAGGAGGAAAUUCGUGGACGCGCUUGCUAUUCAAGUUGGAGCGUCUAGGUGUUUUCUUUCUUUUGUUUUCAAUGUCUAAAUUUGUUUAUCUUUGCUUUGUGCGUAUGAGGAACUAAACCCCCCUUGGCUAGGGGGGGAUUCGAAACCAUGUUUAUGCUUGCUAUAUGAUUUGAUUACUUUCAGUUGCGUUUCAUACGUUGUGAAUUCAAUUUGCUUAUCUAUAUGAAUUAAAACUGAUUUGUGUGUGUUGGUUGAGAGUGCACGCUUAAUUUUCAUGCAUAAAUAUGAUACUAGGAUAUAAGGGAAUUUCAUCUAAUCGUUAUGAACUUAUAUUCAUGAGUAGUAAAGGUUGCUAAUCACAAUCGCGUUAAGUAAAUUUUUGACGUAAGUUUCAUGCAAUUCAUAGUAACAAGUGCCUCGUCAAUGCUUAUGAUUUUUAUAGAACUUAAUGAUCUUUGCUUGUAUCUCUAUUAUGCAAUUCAUGUGGGGAACUUGUGGGGAAUACUUUGGGUUGUCAUAUGCAAUCAUCCGAUUCAAUAACUUUAGGAAAAUCUGAGGGUUAAUUAGUGCAAUUCACAGUUAAUCUGGGGCGUUGAGAAUUCAUGGUUUAUUGAAAAACAAUUGGAAAUCCUUUUUGUAUGCAAGUGUGACAUGUGUGGAGAAGAACCUCCUAGCUAGCCAUUCAUCCAUCUAAUUCACCCAAUUUCGUCUAAAAUAUGUUUAAGUCUUUCUUGUUUUAUUUUACUUGAUUUUCGUCCAAAACCAAACCCCCCUUUACUUUAGAGUGUCUAACUAGUUAGAAUAUGUUUUAGAUUGUGUUUUUAAGUGUUUUGAGUCUAGGAAAACCCAAAAUUCGUCCAAAAGAGUGUUAGAGUUCAAAUCUGCCCAGUUUGUGUUUUUAGGCAAAUUUGAGUGUUUUGAGUUAGAUUUGAGUGUUUUGAGUUGUUUUAGUGUUUUAUAGUUUAGUUUUGCAUUCUUUGAGUUUAGUUUAGUGUUUUAAACUUUGUUUUACGUUUUUGAAUCAGUUUUAAGUGUUUUAGCAAUCCCUCUUAAUUCCCAGCCUAGAACGAUCCCGACUUACAUACUUUGCUACAAUUGAUAAAAGGAUGGUUUAAUUUGUGUGCUUAUAUAUUUCGCAUCAAAUUUUUGGCGUCGUUGCCGGGGAUUAGCAAAGUUGCUAAUCCCUUGGAUUUUUAUUUUGUUUUAGUUGGUUCUAGAUUCUGACCUUGUUUUAUUUCCUUGUUCUUAGGUACUAGUUUAUGACUUGGAGUUCUCAUCCAGUUUGUGAACAUAUCUUGGACUUUGAUGACGAUUUCGAGCGAGAGUUGAGAUGAAAGAGGAAGAAUCCAGAACCUAGUGAAUCAAGUUCAAAUUCAGAGGUCAAAUUUGAGUUUGAGGAAGAAGAACCCGCGACAAGGGUGGGUGAAGUAGUGCAAGACAUGGCAGUGGACAACCGAACAAUCAAGGAGCUUUCCGCUUCGGGAUUGGAUAAUGCCGCACCCUUAUGCAUCCAAUAUCCUGCGGUUGCUUAAGGCAAAACCGAGGAGUUCGAGUUGAAGUCAAGCUUGUUGCACCAUAUUCCGAAGUACCAUGGGUUGUCCAUGGAGGAUCCCAACAAGCACUUGAAAGAGUUCGAGGUGGUGUGUUCAAGCAUGACUCCCAUCAACGUCGACGGGGAGCAUAUUGAAGAUGAAGGCCUUUCCCUUUUCUCUCAUGGAAAAGGCGAAAGAUUGGUUGUAUGAAUUAGCUCCCGGAACUGUCACAUCUUGGGAGAGCAUGAAACGGGCUUUCUUGGAGAAGUUUUUCCCAAAUUCUCGAGUUAUUCUUCUACGAAAAAGGAUAAGUGGAAUUCAGUAAGAUGAAGGUGAAUCUUUUCCUACUUAUUAUGAACAUUUUAAAUCUCUUGUUACUUCAUAUCCACAACAUCAAAUGAAGGAGGUGCUUCUUCUACAAUACUUCUACGAGGGGCUUCUACCAAUUGAACGUCAAAUGCUAGAUGCCUCAUAGGGAGGAGCCUUGGUGGACAAGACCUCUACGGCUACAAAGACUUUAAUUGCUAAUCGAGCGUUGAAUGCUCAACAAUACGAAGGUGUUGGACAAAGAAGCACCCCACGGCAACACCAAGUGAAUGAGGUAAGUGCCAUUUCCGAACUUCAAAAUCAAAUGGCUAACCUUACUACUUUUCUUUCUCAGGUUGUGGAAGGACCAAAAGUACAAAAUGUGGCUGCUUGUGGCAAGUGCUCCAUGCAAGGACAUCUCACGGAUAAGUGCCCAUAAUUGAUUGAGAACGAAGGGUGGGAGACACUUAAGGUCGUGGGUUUUGGGAAUCAAUACCAACCAAGGAAUGAUCCAUUUUCUAAUACAUACAAUCCGGGAUGGAGAGAUCAUCCAAAUUUCAAAUGGAGAGACCCCCAACAAGGCCAACAACAAAUCAGGUUCGUCUAUUGAUAAUGAUCAGAUUUUUCAAUUACUAACUUCUAUGGCGCAGGGUAUGCAAACUAGGGACAAAAAGGUGGACGAGUUGGAGAAGCAAGUAGGGCAGAUUGCGGAGUUCAUGGGGCAAUUCCGAGAACAAGGAAAACUUCCUAGUUCAACCGUUGUGAAUCCGAAAGGAGGCUUUGAAUCUGCAAAGGCAAUCAUGCUAAGGAGUGGAAAAGAAGUUGGAACUGAUCCACAACCAUCUAAAUCAGCCCAAAAAGAGGACGAGAAGUUGCAAUUCGAAGAGGAGGAUCAAGCUAAGGCCACGACAAGGAAGGAAGCACCCUUGCCGCAACUUCCUACAUCCCCUAAUCCAUCCAAUCCGUCCAAAUCAAGUAAGAUGGGUCCAAUUUCGGUUAAUACUAACCAUAUUCCACCCAAUGUACCUUUUCCUCGUAUGUUUAUGCAAUCAAAGAAAGAGGAGGCUGAAAAGGACAUUUUGGAAACGUUUAGAAAUGUUCAAGUCAAUAUCCCCCUUUUGGAUGCAAUUAAGCAAGUCCCGAGGUAUGCCAAGUUUUUGAAAGAACUUUACACCACUAGGAAGAGGAUUUCGACCAAGGAAGUUGUAAAAGUAGGUGAAAACAUCUCAGCCAUCUUGCAACGCAAACUGCCCCCUAAAUGCAAAGAUCCGGGUAGUUUUACAAUUCCUUAUGUCAUUGGUAAUACUCGUUUUGAAUCUGCCAUGUUAGAUUUAGGUGCAUCUAUAAAUGUUAUACCAUAUUCAAUUUAUGCAUCUAUGAACUUAGGAUAGUUGAAAAAUGAUGGUGUGAUUAUACAAUUGGCCGAUAGAUCUAAUGCCUAUCCAAAGGGAGUUUUGGAAGAUGUUUUAGUGCAGGUUAAUCACUUAAUCUUCCCGGCGGAUUACUACGUGCUUGAGAUGGACGAGUCGGACCAUGCCCCUUCAUUGCCCAUCCUCCUUGGAAGGCCAUUCAUGAAAACGGCUCGGACAAAGAUUGAUGUGUUUAAUGGAACAUUGACGAUGGAAUUUGAUGGGGAAGUUAUUAAUUUCAAUCUUUCUGAUUCUAUGAAGUACCCUAGUGAGAGUCAUUCAUGUUUUGCUAUUGAUGUAAUUGACUCUUUGACGCAGGACAAUUUUGAGAAAUUGAAGGACGAUGCACUUGAAUUGGUCAUUGCACGAGGAAUGGACAUGCAAAACGUUGAAGCAGCAACCAUGCACACCUACGGCAUGCAUGAAUUUUCCCUUGCCGUGCCCCCUAGUGAUGGUGUCAUUGAGAUGGUGGCUGCCCUUGAAUCAUUGCCACCACAAUCUGGUAAGUUAUUGGACCCAAUUUUAAGUUCAGUUUCGGUUAAUAAGAUGUUUCCCUCAGUUGUGCAGCCACCUACACUUGAACUUAAGCCAUUGCCUAGUCAUUUGAAGUACGUUUUCUUGGGAGAUGAUGAGAUGUUGCCCGUCAUCAUCUCAUGCUCACUCAUGGCACAAGAAGACGGCAAGUUGGUGAGGGUGCUAAAAGAGUACAAAACAGCAAUUGGAUGGACAUUGGCCGACAUAAAAGGAAUCAGCCCUACUACGUGCAUGCAUCACAUACUUUUGGAGGAGGGGUCUAAAACAUCUCGAGAGGCUCAACACCGACUCAACCCUCAUAUGAUGGAAGUUGUGAAGAAGGAAAUCAUCAAGCUUUUAGAUUGUGGAGUAAUCUAUCCAAUCUCGGAUAGUAGGUGGGUUUCGCCAGUUCAAUGCGUUCCAAAGAAAUCUGGAGUGACAGUGGUAGCAAAUGCCGAAAAUGAACUUGUGCCUACUCGCAUUCGAAUUGGUUGGAGGGUGUGUAUCGACUUUAAGAAGCUAAACGCCACCACAAGGAAGGAUCACUUCCCCUUGCCAUUUAUUGAUCAAAUGCUUGAGAGAUUAGCAGGUUAUGCUUUUUAUUGUUUUCUUGAUGGUUAUUCUGGUUAUAAUCAAAUUGUCAUAGCACCCGAGGACCAAGAAAAAACCACGUUCACAUGCCCUUUUGGUACAUUUGCUUAUCGUCGCAUGCCUUUUGGUUUAUGUAAUGCACCUGCCACAUUUCAAAGAUGCAUGAUGAGCAUAUUUCUGAUUAUGUUGAGAAAAUAAUUGAAGUUUUUAUGGAUGAUUUCAACGUUUUUGGUGAUUCAUUUAAUGGUUGUUUGCAUAAUCUCGGUUUGAUCUUAAAAUGAUGCGUUGAAACUAACCUCGUUCUUAAUUGGGAAAAAUGUCAUUUCAUGGUUAAACAAGGCAUAGUUUUAGGUCAUAUCAUCUCUAAAAACGGUAUUGAGGUUGAUAAGUCAAAGAUAGAUCUUGUACGUCACUUACCCUCUCUUACUUUGGUUAGAGAGGUUCGUUCUUUUCUUGGCCAUGCAGGGUUCUAUCGUAGGUUCAUCAAAGCCUUCUCAAAGGUUGCCCAACCUCUUUGCCGACUCCUACAAAAAGAUGUGGCGUUUGAUUUCAAUGGGGAAUGCACAACAUCAUUCAAUCAACUCAAGGAGUUGUUGACCACGACACUAAUCAUUGUCCUACCUGAUGGAGCCUACCUUUCGAGCUUAUGUGUGAUGCGUCCGAUUACGCUUUAAGGGCUGUUUUAGGACAAAGGAAAGACAAGAGGCCGCAUGUCAUCUACUAUGCCUCACGGACGUUGAAUGAUGCUCAAUUGAACUAUUCCACUACGGAAAAAGAACUUCUUGCCGUUGUCUUUGCUUUAGAUAAAUUUAGAUCAUAUCUAAUUGGUACUAAAGUAAUUGUUUUCACUGAUCAUGCAGCUUUGAAGUACUUGCUCACCAAAAAGGACUCCAAGCCACGGUUAAUUCGUUGGAUGUUGCUACUUCAAGAGUUCGACAUUGAGAUUCGAGAUAAGAAGGGAAGUGAAAACGUGGUGGCUGACCACCUAAGCCGAAUGGUGCAUAAUGAGGAGUCCCUACCCAUUGCUGAGACAUUCCUCGAUGAACAAUUGCUGUCCAUAAAGGUAAGUGAGCCUUGGUAUGCCGAUUUGGUAAACUUUUUGGUGUCAAAAUGAAUUCCAAGCACUUUCACUAGGCACCAACGUGAUAAGUUAAGACAUGAUGCACGGUUUUAUGUAUGGGAUGAUCCAUAUUUAUGGAAAUUUUUCCCUGAUCAGAUUGUACGUCGAUGUGUGCAUGAUUAUGAAUUUCAAUCAAUUCUAAGCUUUUGUCAUACAUAUGCAUGUGGUGGGCACUUUGGCACACAAAGAACAGCACUUAAGGUGUUAUAAUGUGGAUUUUAUUGGCCUAGUAUCUUUAAGGACGCUAGAACUUUUUGCUUAACAUGUGAUAAAUGCCAAAGAAUGGGUAACAUAGGUGCUAGGGAUCAAAUGCCGCAGGUUUCUAUCUUUAAUGUUGAAAUUUUUGACGUUUGCGGUAUUGAUUUUAUGGGUCCCUUUCCUUCCUCAUAUGGUUUCAUGUAUAUUUUGCUUGCGGUUGAUUAUGUGUUAAAGUGGGUGGAAGCAAAAGCCACCUGGACAAAUGAUUCUAAAGUGGUUGCAGAUUUUAUUAGAACUAACAUAUUUGCAAGGUUUGGCAUGCCACGUGUAAUCAUAAGUGAUGGAGGGUCUCACUUUUGCAACCGGACCAUUGAGGCGUUAUUGAGGAAGUACAAUGUCAACCAUAAGGUUUCUACACCUUACCACCCUCAAACCAAUGGCCAAGCCGAUGUGUCUAACCGAGAGAUCAAGCAAAUCCUAGAGAAGACCGUUGGGCCAACAAGGAAGGAUUGGAGCUUACGGUUAGACGACACAUUGUGGGCAUAUCGUACGGCGUACAAAACACCCAUUGGGAUGUCCCCAUUUAGGCUCAUUUAUGGCAAGCCAUGCCAUCUUCCCGUUGAAUUGGAGCACAAAACUCAUUGGGCCAUCAAGAAGUUCAACAUGAAUCUAGAUGCAGCGGGAAGUCAUAGAAAAUUCCAAUUAAAUGAACUUGAUGAGAUAAGGCAUGAGGCGUACGAGAAUGCUAGCAUCUACAAGGAGAAGACCAAAGCUUUCCAUGACAAAAUGAUUCGUGGCAAAACAUUCUCCAUAGGGCAGAAAGUGCUAUUGUUCAAUUCCCGUUUACGUUUGUUUCCCGGUAAGUUAUGUUCUAAGUGGAUUGGACCGUUUGUUAUUACUAAUGUUUUUGUUCAUAGUGCAGUCUAAAUCCAAAGCUUGAAAAUGGGACACGAAUUCAAGGUGAAUGGGCACCGAUUGAAGCCCUAUUAUGAGAACUUUGAGGAGCAUGCCGUGGGCUCUAAUGGGGAGUGAAUGAGUUCUUCGUCUGGCUGCACGACGUUAAAGCAAGCACUACUUGGGAGGCAAUCCAUGCAUUCAACAAAGGAAGACCUAGGAAUCACUCCAAUUCCAGAUUUGCGUUCCUCAAACCCUUCUCUUUGUUGUUAUUUUGUUUCUGCCAUGUUGAGUUGUUUAGUUGCUGUUUGUUUGUUUAUGUGUUUUUGUGUGAGUUUAUGCUUGAAACAUUGAGGACAAUGUUUGAUUUAAGUGUGGGGGGGGGGGGGGAAUAAGUGCUUUUGAUGCAAAUUCGUGGGGUUUUAUCACCCAUAACUUCCAAUGUUGUUCCUUGCUGUUUUUAAGUGGGGUUUAAACUGUUUUGAUGCAUUUUAGUGUGUUUUGACAUAAAAAUCCAAAAAUCUCACAAAAAUUUGAAAAAUUGUUUUGAAAAACCCAAAAAGAGUUGUUCUUGAAUUGUUUUUGUGUGUUUGUUUGUGUCUUAGGUACCUUCUAACACAAUGCUGAGGAUUCAGUUUUUAAUUGCAUGACUGUUAAAGAGAGUUAUAAACAUGGAUGAAAGUUGGUUUACUCUUUGGUUUAUGCUUGGUUGUGGUUAUAACUUAUGAAUUCACAUGCAAUCAUAAAAGAAAAAUUAGUUUUUGUAACAUGCUUGAAGGAAGGACUCAAAUUAACGCUACAACCUUGUGAGACUUGAGCCUAAACGUUUAUUUGGAGAGUUAAUAAUCUGUGCAUUGUUGUUUUCUAAAGUUGUUACAUGAUCUCAUUAUUCUUUGCUUGGUUACUACUUAGAAGGCGUUUCAUCAUUUAGUUCCAAAUGCUAUAACUCAUGCCCAUUUCAUUCAAAGCAUGCUAUUGAUUGCAUAACACAUAUUCAAGAUGAAGUUGUGUAGUGACCUCCAAAGCCAAAUUGUCGUAUGCCCUAAUUCAUUAUAUGUUCAAGUUUAACCCCGUUAAGCCUUGUGUAGCCUAUGUUCUUUGUUAACCCACACUAUCCUCACCUAGCCUAGAUUAGGACCAUCCAUACCCUUGUUCUUGAAGCAUAGUAAGGCAUGACUCAAAAUAAAUUCCUUUUGAUCAAUGUAUUGCAGAAAACAAGUGUGGGGGAAUGGAUUUGUGUGUAUGCCAAGGACUUUCAUGUGGCACGGGUAGAAAAAAAGAAAGAAAAAAAAAUUUCAUGGAAAAUAGAAAGAAGAAAAGAAAAGUUGUGAAAAGUAUGGAAAAGAGUGAAAAAGAUGUGAAAACAAGCUCUAAAGUGUUGAUUGUUGAAGAUAAGGUCCAAAACAUUAAAUUCGGCCCUAAGUGUUGUAUGACUCUUCCCUUUGUAUUUAAAAGUUGAUUUCUGCAUUCUAAAGUGAAUUCUAAAGUUGCGAUUUCAUUACUUUGCUUGCUAUUGCUUAAAGAACGUUUGUUAUCCCUAUCUUUAUUUGUUAACCAAUACCCCAAGCCCCGUUAAAACCCUUGACUUCUAUCUUAAGUGUUAUGUGUUUCAAUUUGUGGAGUUUGAAUUUGGUAUGAGCAUAUGGUGUCACUGGUUCUCGCAUCUAAGUAGUAGCAUUCCAUUCAUGAGAUCAUAUCUAAACAUGCUUAUUAACUCCAGAAAUUGCUUUCUUUGUUAUACAUAUAUGUGUGCGUUUGUUUUCAUGUCUACAUCAAUCUUCUCACAUAUAACUAGUAUAGGGUGUGUAGUCAGAAAAUCUGAGUGAAAAUUGAGUGCAUAUCUUGUAAGGAAUUGAGCAAAUUCUCUAAGGCAUGUUACUACAUUCAAAACAUCGUUUUAGUUGGUUAAUUGUGAACUAGUAAGUGGUAAUUAUGAUUAAGUAUGUGCUCAAGUGUGAAGAUGACUAAAAUAUGUGGGAAUGAUGAUUUUUAAUAUGUCAUGUGCAUUGGAAAUCCCUGAGGCAACGUUGGAAGGUUUAGGUUGUGUUUUGUUUGUGUUGUUUCGUUUUGUUUUCUUUUGUUUGUUUUGUUUUGCUCGAGGACUAGCAAAAGCUAAGUGUGGGGGAAUUUGAUAGGAGCAUAUUUAUGCGACUUAGUGAGCUUGUUCUUGUGCAUUUACGUUGUGUUUCUUAGUUAAGUUAGUCUUUUAAGCCAUUUUCUUGUGUUUUCAGGUUUUAAGGGCAAAGUAUGCAAAAUAGUGCAUUUUGGAGCCUUUUGGAGAAAAAUUGAGCUUGGAAUGGAUAUCACAUGCUUGGAGCAAAAUGAGUAUACGAAAUUGAAAAUUUGAAGAUGUGAGGAGUCCUAAUUGAAGAAGGAUUCCUAAUCAACGAAGGAGUCCUAAUUGAAGAAGGAUUCCUAAUCAAAGAUGGAUUCCUAGAAGAAUGAGGAUUCCUACUCAAACAAGGUUUCCUACUUGAAGUAGGAAAGUUAAGCCUAAAGUUUCCUAUUUUGGGUUGAUCUUUCCUAAACCUAGAUGACCUUAAGUUCCAGCAACAUUGAAGGUUUCCUAAGCAUUUUUGGACACAAAGAAAGGUUCUAGAGCAUUUCUCCCAUUCUCUGCCGCAGCCAUCACCACCAAUUCUCCAUAGUUCAUGACCAAAAUCACCCCUUGCCGCACCUUCCAUCAAUCCUAAACACUACCAUACCAUCUCCCAUCCAUUCUUCCAUACACAUAACCCCCAAAACCUGUCCCCAAGCCUUGUGCCGCAACAAAGAGGAAAGAGGAAAUUUGUGGACGCGCUUGCUUUUCAAGUUGGAGCGUCUAGGUGUUUUCUUUCUUUUGUUUUCAAUGUCUAAAUUUGUUAUCUUUGCUUUGUACGUAUGAGGAACUAAACCCCCUUGGCUAGGGGGGAUUCGAAACCAUGUUUAUGCUUGCUAUAUGAUUUGAUUACUUUCAGUUGCGUUUCAUAAGUUGUGAAUUCAAUUUGCUUAUCUAUAUGAAUUAAAACUGAUUUGUGUGUGUUGGUUGAGAGUGCACGCUUAAUUUUCAUGCAUAAAUCUGAUGCUAGGAUAUAAAGGAAUUUCAUCUAAUCGUUAUGAACUUCUAUUCAUGAGUAGUAAAGGUUGCUAAUCACAAUCGCGUUAAGUAAAUUCUUGGCAUAAGUUUCAUGCAAUUCAUAGUAACAAGUGCCUCGUCAAUGCUUAUGAUUUUCAUAGAACUUAAUGAUCUUUGCUUGUAUCUCUAUUAUGCAAUUCAUGUGGGGAACUUGUGGGGAAUACUUUGGGUUGUCGUAUGCAAUCAUCCGAUUCAAUAACUUUAGGAAAAUCUGAGGGUUAAUUAGUGCAAUUCACGGUUGAUCUAGGAUGUUGAGAAUUCAUGGUUUAUUGAAAAACAAUUGGAAAUCCUUUUUGUAUGCAAGUGUGACAUGUGUGGAGAAGAACCUCCUAGCUAGCCAUUCAUCCAUCUAAUUUACCCAAUUUCGUCUAAAAUCUGUUUAAGUCUUUCUUGUUUUAUUUUACUUGAUUUUCGUCCAAAACCAAACCCCCCUUUACUUUAGAGUGUCUAACUAGUUAGAAUAUGUUUUAGAAUGUGUUUUUAAGUGUUUUGAGUCUAGGAAAACCCAAAAUUCGUCCAAAAGAAUGUUAGAGUUUAAAUCUGCCCAGUUUGUGUUUUUAGGCAGAUUUGAGUGUUUUGAGUUGUUUUAGUGUUUUAUAGUUUAGUUUUGCAUUCUUUGAGUUUAGUUUAGUGUUUUAAACUUUGUUUUACGUUUUUGAGUUAGUUUUAAGUGUUUUAGCAAUCCCUCAUAAUCCCCGGCCUAUAACGAUCCCUACUUAUAUACUUUGCUACAAUUGAUAAAAAUAGGGUUUAAUUUGUGUGCUUAUAUAUUUCGCAUCAAGUUGUAGUUGCCCUUCAUUGAUAAAGCUUUUGUUGGCACCAUAAAUUGGUGUUGCUUCACACUGUCUUGAUCAAGAGUGUGUGAAGCUUUUGAGAAUUGUGGUUGAACUCCUUUGAUGAAGCUUUUGUUGGCACCUUAAAUUGGUUUUGCUUCACACUGUCUUGAUCAAGAGUGUGUGAAGCUUUUGAGAAUUGUGUUUGCCUUCCAUUGAUGAAGCUCUUGUUGGCACCAUAAAUUGGUUUUGCUUCACAUUGUCUUGAUCAAGAGUGUGUGAAGCUUUUGAGAAUUGUGGUUGCCCUCCAUUGAUGAAGCUCUUGUUGGCACCAUAAAUUGGUUUUGCUUCACACUGUCUUGAUCAAGAUUGUGUGAAGUUUUUGAGAUUUGUGGUUGACCUCUUUUGAUGAAGCUCUUGUUGGCACCAUAAAUUAGUUUUGCUUUACACUGUCUUGAUCAAGAGUGUGUGAAGCUUUCUACCAGUUGUAGUGUUUGCAUUGUUACAGAGGAGAAAUGUCUAAAGCAGACGCAAGGGGGCUGAAUAGCUUGAUCUUCGUAUGCCAUGCAUUAAAGUUAUUGUUGGCUUGCAAUAAGACUUUGUUGGUGACUAUAACUCUUGUUAGGCAUAAGUGCUCCACUAGUUGAGUUGUCAAGCUUGAGGGUUUUUGAUUAUUUGUGAAUGCUAGGAGUUCACAUGUAUAAGUUGUACCACUCGUCUUCUGGUAGGUGGAAUGAAUGGUGAGUUGCUUUCAUCACUUGGUUGGUGGUACGAAGGUGAGUUCCUUCAUCACCUUUCAUCACAUUUCAUCACCUGGUUGAUGGCACGAAGAUGAGUUCCUUCUUUACCUGGUUGGUGGCAUGAAUGGUGUUGAUGCACAAAACCGGGAGGUCUUGGAACAACGUAAAUCCGACUGUGAAUCUGCAAGAAAGUAAAGAACACAAAAUGUAUCGUGGUUCACCCCAAUGUUUGGGCUACGUCCAUACUGAUAUUGUAUUUCUCUAUUUGUGAGAGGAUUGUGAGGGAGAAAGAGCUUUAUAAUGUGAGAGUGAGGCCUUUUGAUUGUGAGGGUGAUGAGUCCCUUUUAUAGACUAAAGGUCCUCAUUUAGUACAUAUUUUCCCCUUCAUUUAUUACAUAAUUACACUUGAGUCCCCCGAGUAUUUAUACAAGGUCUAAAUACAGAGGCCGUAAGUAUGGUACAAACAGUAGUCCCCAAGUCUUCAGUCAAGAGAGUCUUUUGGCUGGAGACUUGAAAUUCAGUCCCUGUGUAGGCCGAAGUAACUAGAUGUUGUCUAGAACUGAUACACGAUAUGAUGCGGUGCCUAAUCUAAAAUGAUGCUCAACUAGAAGUAGCACAUGUUGCGAGGCUGCUGGAUUUGUAGCUUAUGUUGUCUUGGUUGGCUCGGCUUGUGGUGUUGAAGGUGAGGGAGUCCUUUUUAUAGAAUAAGGGCUCGCUCCUCAAUACAUAAAUGAUGGGCUAGAGUUGAUGCUUGCGCGAGGUGGUUGCUUAGCAGGUGGCGAUGUUCUCUAAUGAUGGUGAGGGAGUCCCUUUUAUAGAAUAAGGGCUUGCUCCUCAAUACAUAAAUAAUGGGUUAGGAGUGAUGCUCGCGGUGAGGCGGUUACUCAGCUGGCGGUGAUGCUCUCUAAUGAUGGUGAGGGAGUCCUUUUAUAGAAUAAGGGCUCGCUUCUCAAUACAUAAUUGAUGGGAUAAGAGUUUCUCUCUAAUGAAGAUGAGUGAGUCCCUUUUAUAAAAUAAGGGUUGGCUCCUUAAUACAUAAAUAAUGAGCGUUCUCUAAUGAAAGUGAGGGAGUCCCUUUUAUAGAAUAAGGGCUCGCUCCUCAAUACAUAAGUGGUGGGCAAAGUUCCCCAAAUAUUUUUCAUGAGGCCUAGUUGCAGAAGCCCAAUAUAUGGUACAUAAUGUAGUCCCCCAAGUCUUCAGUCAAGAGAGUCUUUUGGCUGGAGACUUGAAAUUCAGUGCAUGUGUGGGCCGAAGUGGCGGUUGUUCGGAGGCGGUUUUUGAUACGAUGCACUGAAGCUUUGUAGGUGAAGCUUUGAACGUGAAACUUUGAAGCUGAAGCUUUUGUAAAUGAAGCUUUUGAAGCUGGAGCUUUGUAAAUGAAGCUUUCGAAGCUGAUUGACAUGAGUGAUGCUCAUGAAUGUUUAUGUUGAUUGACAUGAGUGAUGCUCAUGAAUGUUGACAUGUGUGAUGCUUAUGAAUGUUUAUGUAUGAUUUACAUGAGUGAUGCUUAUGAAUGUUUAUGUAUGAUUGACAUGAGUGAUGCUCAUGUAUAAUUUUGGAUUACUGGACGUACUUUUAAUCACCUAGUUGGUGAUAAUAGCGGCAAACAACUGAAUAGUUUUGGAGUACUGGACGUAUGUUUGAUCACCUAGGUGGUGAUAAUAGCAGCAGGCUACCAAAUAAUUUUGGAGUACUAGACGUACUUUUGAUCACUUGGUUGGUGAUAAUAGCGGCAGGGUGCCAAAUAAUUUUGGAGUACUGGGCGUACUUUUGAUCACCUGGUUGGUGAUAAUAGCGACAGGGUGCCGAAUAAAUUUGAAGUACUGGACGUACUUUUGAUCACUGGACGUAUUUUUGAUCACCUGGUUGGUGAUAAUAGCAGCAUGGCACCGAAUAAUUUUGGAGUACUGGACGUUUUGAUCACAUGGUUGGUGAUAAUAGCGGUAGGCUAUUGAAUAAUUUUGGAGUACUGGACGUACUUUUGAUCACCUGGUUGGUGAUAAGCAAAUGGGUGUCCGGUCAGACAAGAGAUCACCAUGAGCACGUGGCUCAUCAGUCUAUAAGUUGGUUGACUUCUUUAAUCAGCAACAAUGUUGAUCAGUGGAUCUAGUUGCUCAAUAAUUCCUGAUAAUAAAUGACAGUAUAAGUAUGACUGUAUAAUGAAUAACUCAAAUUGACAAAGUUUGUCAAGACAAAAAUAUUGUACUGUGUGCCUUAUGUGAAUAAAUGAUUUAUUCUGUUAUGUGAUAAAUGACAUGUUGCAUAAAUCAACAAUAUAUUAGGUAUUGCCUAAAUGUGUGUAUAUAUAUAUAUAUAUAUAUAUAUAUAUAUAUAUAUAUAUAUAUAUAUAUAAUCAUGAAUAAAUGAUUUAUUCAGUUGUUUGAUAAAUCCCAUGUUGUAUAAAUGAAUAACAUGGUAGUAAUCAUGUGAUAUCAGAAAUAAUAUUAUUUAAUCAUAAGUCAUCAUGACAUAAGAAUAAUAAAAUUAUUAUUUUAUAAUUAGUCACCAUGACACAAAUAAAAUAAUAAGAUAUUAAAUAAACAAUACGUACCUUCGUAUAUCUCUUAAUAAUGAAACCAUUCAAAAUAACAAGGAGGAUCUUGGAUCCACUUGUCUAAUUAAUGAUCACAAUUAAUAAACAAAAGAAUGUGUUAAAUUGUUAAUCAUGUGGUAGGCAGCUUUGCAAGCAACACCUUAGUCAUGAAAGGCUGCUAUUGGUAGGGGUCCCCUAAUACAACUUGUGCAAGCCAACUAUAAAUCCAUUCUCUCUCUCACUCGGUUCUAGCAAAUGUCACGUGAAAUUUACUAACUUUUGUAACGUUCCUUUUUUAUUGUGUUAAAAUAAUAAAAUUAUUAUAAUAAAACUUAUCUUUUUAGACGGAGUGGGCAUCAUUUAUAGAAUAAUUGAGGCAGACAAAAGAAAAGUAAAGCUGGCACCAUUUAUAGAAUAAUUGAGAAAUAACAUAAAGAAAUAUAAAGUUUCUGACAACCACUUAUCUUCUUCGUGGGUGUGGAAAUGAGUUCAACCAAAGGAGAGAAUGACAGUUCGAGCAUCUAUGACAGCGAUUUGGAGUUUCUAACAACCAGUCCGAGUGGAAGCAGUUUGGAUUGCAAAGAUUCGAUGAAUAAUCUUAAUGAGGGCAGUGGAAGCAAUUGUUCGGGAAAUGUUAGCAAAGAGGAUGCUGAUGAUGGGUGUCUAGAUGACUGGGAGGCUGUGGAUUUGUCCCAGUUAAUCUCGGUGUUGCCAACGGAGGCCGUCAUGGACAUCGCUCCAAAUCGAAAACCACUGGACAUUAUCUUUUGUUUCGCUGACCACUGGACAUUGAAGACGCGGAGAACCACCAAAAGAAUCAUGAAGCCGUACAAACCAUCUUGAUCAUCGUUCUCCACAAAAAAUCUUAUGGCAUCAUCAGCAGCUCCACUGGCUAUGAUAUUGUCCCUUGACCAAUGAACUGAAAAUAUUGUUUGGUCAUGAUAACCUGAAAACUACAAAGAUGUAGCCAAGGUACAAAGCCAUCAGCAUACAUCUUUGUAUUGUCUGAUCCCUAAAUCCUUAAAGUAAGAUCAUCACUGCAGGUAACCAUUUUGUCUCCACUGGCAUUAAACGAUAUAGCCCAGAUGGUAGAAGAGUGACCAUUGUUAGCUUCACCUAAUGUUUGAACACACGCCCAAUCAUCAUCGUUACCAUCAUCUGCCCAUAUCUUGAUAGUGUUAUCACCCGGCGUUGUGUUCGAGAUCAGAGGGCAUGCAAGGUGAGGUAGCAAAGUGGCAUCGUGUUCGAGAUCAAAGGAAUUGCAGAGACGGAGGAGAUGGGUGGGGGACUCCCUCACGCAAGUGCUGUACUCUGGUGUCGCAGGCGGUGAAGCAGCGGCGGAAGCGCUCAGAGACUAUGUCCAUGUUGGGGAGGUGGGGGACUUCGACGAUUGUGAGGUCGAGGUCGCCGUGCAGGUAGGUCACCCGCUCAACCAUCUUUUCGGCCAUUUUCAGAGGUCAGUGUACAAACCCGUAAUUUCGUAUACCAGAUUUGCUGGGUUUGCGGUGGGUGUGAAUAGUGACAAAAGCUGGGUUUAUGGGGGUUUGACGUUGCUUAUAGGCAGAGAAGGUGGGAGUUCUUUGCCAAUUGGGAAUUCAGGACCGAGUUGGGGUGUUUGGGAUUUCUGAUUUCUCUACGUUUUUUAGAGAUGGGUUUUGCAGUGACUCUGCAAGUGUUUGGUUCUUGGGUUUCUGCAGAUUCAUGGUGGAUAGUGUGGUGAGGCCUCACGGUGGUGAGAUGAAAAAAUGAAAAAGAACCGACAUAGCUUUCGUGUCGAUUCCCACAGACGACGCCAAAUAUUGAUGCACAAAAUCAAAAGGUCUUGGAACAACGUAAAUCCGACCGUGAAUCUGCAAGAAAGUAAAGAACACAAGAUGUAUCGUGGUUCACCCCAAUGUUUGGGCUACGUCUACACUGAUAUUGUCUUUCUCUGUUUGUGAGAGGAUUGUGAGGGAAAUAGAGCUUUGUAAUGUGAGAGUGAGACCUUUUGAUUGUGAGAGUGAGGAGUCCCUUUUAUAGACUAAGGGCUCCUCACUUAUUACAUAUUUUCCCCUUCAUUUAUUACAUAAUUACACUUGAGUACCCCGAGUGUUUAUACAAGGUCUAAAUACGGAGGCUAUGGUACAAACAAAUGGCAAGUUGCCAAAUGAUAUUAGAGUAUGUGUUAUACAUUUCAUCACAUGGUUGAUGGCAUGAAGGAAAGUACAGGUUGUACAUUUCAUCACCUGGUUAGUGGCAUGAAGAUGAGUUCCUUCUUCACAUUUCAUCACCUGGUUGGUGAGAAUAAGGGCAAGGUGUCGAGGCACAUUGUAGCAAGUGUCGAAUGACACAAAGUAUGUUGAACCCUUUCAAAGCAUAGCUGGCUUAUGUAUGAAUGUGUUGGAAUGUAUGAUUGAACAAAUAUACUGUGAAGUUGUUCAUUUUUUUGUAUAGUUUUGUUGACAUAUACUUAGACUUUGUUUCAUGUUGGAAUCAUUCAUGUUGAAGAUUUGAACCCGAGUGUUUCAUUGCUAGGAAUGUAAGAGGAUUAGGACUGAGUUGUCUAAAUCACCUCUUUAUUGAAUUCAUGCCAAAUAAUAUUCGUUACAUAUGAUCCCGAACGGCUAAAGCUUAACACUUGUACAAUGUGAGUUUACUUGUAAUAGUAGUUCAAGUGAUCAGCGUUCCAUGGAUGGCCAAGGGUUUUGCUAUCAGAGCUUUUAAGCUUGUAGGAGCCAACUGAUGCCAACAACUUCAAACGGUCCAUCCUAGUUUGGAUUAAGUGUUCCUUCACUCGGGACUCUGUCACAGAGUAAUCUUUUCUUCAAUACCCAGUCCCCCACUUUGAAAGAAUGAGGUUUGACCCUUGAGUCAUAGUAGUUGGAGAUGCGCUGCUUGUAGGUGACAUUUCUUAAGUGAGCCUGGUUUCUGUGUUCCUCAACUAGAUCUAAGUUGAGGGUAAGUUGUUUGUCACUUUCGCUUUGCACGUAGUUCUGGACUCGGAACGUUGUUUGCUCAAGCUCAACUAGGACAACUGCCUCUGUACCAAAGGCAAGUAAGAAUGAGGUUUCUCCUGUUGACGUCCGAUACAAAGUGCGGUAUGACUAAAGAACUUGGGGUACAAAUUCUGGCCAACAACCUUUACCUUGUCCAAGCUGGUUUUCAAAGUUCACUUGAUUAUUUUGUUGAUGGCUUCAACUUGUCCAUUAGAUUGGGGAUGAGCUAGGGAGGUAAAACAUAAGUUGAUGUUAAACUUAGAGCAGAACAUCCUGAACUUAUUGUUGUCGAACUGUCUCCCAUUAUCAGUGACAAUCACAUUGGGAAUGCCGAAUCUGCAAAUGAUGUUCUUCCAUACGAAGUCUUUUAUUUUUACCUCAGUAAUGGUUGCCAAGGGUUCUAUUUCGGCCCGCUUUCUGAAGUAGUCAACUGCAACAAUUGCAUAUUGAACCUUGCCAUUCCCUGCAGGCAUUGGACCAAUCAAAUCAAGUCCCCAUUGGGCGAAGGGCCAAGGGCUGAUCAUAGGAGUGAUGAAUAGUUGCGUAGCGUUGACAUGUAUCACAUGAGCAGGAUAUUCUGAUGGCAUCUUGGUGGAGUGUUGGCCAGUAAUAUCCUUGGCGAAAAACCUUGUGCUAGGGAUCGAGAUCUAGCAUGAUCUCUGCAAACUCUUUCAUGUAUUUCCCGAAGGACAAUUUCCGCCUUCGCGGGCGUAAGGCAUUUUAGGUAUGGUAGGUAAAAAAUCCAUCUUUGUAGAGUUGGUCAUUAAUGAUCAAGUAACGGGUAACCUUGUAUCGAAUCUGCUUAGCUUGGACUUUAUCAUUUGGGAGGGUGCCAUGUGCAAGGAAUUUAUAAAUCAGGAUAAUACAACUAUCCCCUUGUUGUAAGUUGUACAUUUCCACGGCUAUGGUGCUUGGUCCUGCCAACAAUUCGACCUGAAUUUUUCUCCCAAUUUUGUCCUCCACUGCUGAGCUGAGGCGAGCCAAUGCGUCUGUAUGACUGUUUGUCGCUCGAGGAACUUGGGUGAUCUGGUAGUGGAAUUGCUUGAGCAAUAAUUGUGUUUGUGCCAGAUAUGCUGCCAUGGAGCUAUCCUUAGUGUCAAAGUUGUUGGUGACCUGGUUAACCACCAAUUGGGAGUCACUGAAGAUAUCAAUUCGUUUAACCCCAAGGUGUUUGGGCAAAUGUAAGCCUGCUAGGAGGGCUUCAUAUUCGGCCUCAUUGUUCGACGCCUUGAAUUUGAAACGAGGAGCAUACUUCAUCGCCACUUUGUCGGGGGUCGUAAGGACUAGUCAUGCUCCAUAACCCUGUUGGUUGGACGAGCCAUCAACAUAUAGACUCCCUGCUGGGGCUGUUGGUUCUAUUUUCUGAGCUUCUGAGGGUAAUGAAACCACUUCUUUAGGCACAGAAACAAUGUCAACAAAAUAUGUGAAGUCGGCGAUGAAGUCUGCCACUGCUUGGCCCUUCUCAGCUGGCUUUGGUUGGUAUGAGAUGUCAAACUCACCCAAUGCUAUCACCCAUUUGAUCAUUUGGCCUAAAGUGUCAAGACUUUGGAGUAUCUGUCGAAGAUGAUGAUUAAUAAGCACGAUGAUGAAGUGUGCUUGGAAGUAAGGGCGAAGUUUUCGAGCAGACAUGACCAAUGCUAAAGCCAAUUUCUCAAUGUUAGAGUAUCGUGUCUCAACAUCUUGUAAGGCCUUACUAGCGUAGUAGACAGACCGUUCGACAUUACCAUCUAUUUAUACCAUACUUGACCAAUCCCGAAAUUACUAAGCACCGGUUAACGUUAUACUGUCAAAGACCCAUAAGAGUUUCCCUCUAACCAGGAGGCCAAUGACAGUGCAACACGUGUCGACAUCAGAAGCCAAUCAUAGCGCGACACAUGUCAACAUCAGAAGCUAAUCACAACACGACACGUGUCAAUGUUAGAAUGAAACUAGAAACUCUAUUUUAUAAAUAGAGAUCAUUCUCUAACAAUAUUUCCUAAUGUAAUUUGUACUACAUCAUUCACUAGUACUCACUAAAGGAGAGCUUAAACUUAUGUAUUUGUGUAACCCUUCACAAUUAAUGAGAACUCAUCUACUCCAUGGACGUAACCAAUCUGGGUGAACCACGUACAUCUUGUGUUUGCUUCCCUGUCCUUAUCCAUUUACUUACUUAUCCACACUAGUGAUCAGAGCAAUCUAGCGAAGGUCACAAACUUAACACUUUAUGUUGUACCAAAGUCCUCACUGAUUUUGUUCAUCAACAUUUGGCGCCGUCUGUGGGAACGACACUUAUUCCCACUCUCUUCAGCUUUGUCAAGCUGGUUUCCACCAUUUGUACACUCUCUUUUGACCAGGCAUCCAUCUCCAACAUGGGGAGCGAAGGAAGCUGCAGCACACAUAAUGACACCUCUCUUGCACCUAGUGCGAAGCAAUGAAAGAAGGAAGGAAAAAGGGUUGCUCUUCAAGCUAAAGUCGAUGAGCUAGAAGCUUAGAACAACAAGAUAGCAAUGAAGAAUGACGUCCUCCAGGAGCAGUAUGAGAAGCUCUUUGAGACGCUCCACGAAACUAGGCGUACACAAACAUGUGAGCUCGUUACCCCUGUGAACAUCAAUCAUCACCUGGGUGCCCCCUAACACGGAGGGUCACCUUCCUUCGACAUAGGUAUCCCUGAUGAGAAGCAAGCUAAUCAUCAAAACAUUGAUCAAUAUGAGACUUCUCUCAACCUAGCUGCUUCGACCCGAAGCAGGAGAAGUGGAGGAAGACACUUUCUUGCAGAAGGGUUGGAAGGAUCGAAAGCCGUUUAUCGUGAUUGCCGAGACUUCCUAAAGCAACGUCGAGAUAAUCCCCUCCACAUAUGCUCGAAGAUCAAUGAACUAAGGGUUUCUAAAAAAUUGGUCCCCUCCCACGACCCAGGCCAGCUGCUAAUCUAGGGAAGAAACGACAGGUCCUAGAGGAACAUGAAGGUACAGGGGACUCUGAGGUAUUCCGACAGACUCGCCCUAGAAGUCAGUACGGCGAGUCCAAGGAAAAAUCACACGCCCUUGCUCAAACUUUCCUAUUUCCAAGAGGUGAUGGAGACUUACGAAAGAAAAUCCCAAUGGUACAUGACUCCACUCAAGGCCCCCUUGUCCUACAGCUUCUUGAGGAAGUAAAUAAGUUGAAGGCCGAACGUCAGGCCGAGAUACCUGACUGAAACCAACCCAGGCCUGGCCCUCUCACAAGGAGGAUCCUCGACACCCCCUUCAAGCGAAGACAAAACAAAAGCUUGGUUUACAACUCUAUACUGGAAGGGAGGACCCAAUUGAACACCUUAACCUCUUUGAGUCCACCAUGGCAUAUCAGAUGCACACCGACGAAGAACGAUGUCUUCUUUUCCCCUCCACCCUCUCUGGCGGAGCUCUAAACUGGUAUUGCCGUCUUUCACUUAAGACAGUAGACUUAUUUGAGGAGCUAAGGAAAUAGUUCAUCUCUUAACACAUCUUCUAGACCGAUCGCUUGCAUUUUGCAGAUGACUUGUACACUAUUCACCAGAAGCCGGACGUGUCACUACGAGAGUAUGCUGGUCGUUUCAGCCAUGAGUAUUCUCGCUGCGCUGAGGCAGAUGACAAGACCACCCUUAAGGCCUUCACGGCAGGCCUACGUGAUUGUUUCUUCAAGUACAUGAUCAAUGCCAACACUUGGAAGACUUACUUUGAGGUGAUGGCACAGGCUUACAACCAUGCCUCCGCCGAGGCAAGGACAUAUCAAGGGAAACCCCCCACAACCACCCCUUAUCAGCAAGUAGGGAGUGGAAGCCAGAUCCAACCAAAUGAGAAGACAUCGACCUUCCAAACGGCAACGGUGCCUCCCCCUGCCUUACUUAAUACUUUGUCAAGUUAACAGACAUAUCAAUCUCAAGGUAAAAGGAAAGAUUUCCAUCCUCACCAGUCUCAUUUUAGUAAAAGGAGUAAGGGACACUAUCGCGAUAACGAAAGGUAUCGCCAUGAUAAUCCCCGACCCUAGGCAGUCAACACAGUAGGUCAAGCACGUGUCAGGACAGCCCCUACCUCGAGGUAUGAGGCAUACAAUCCUUUGAACGCCACAUGUGUGUCCAUUUACCCCAGCAUAACACACUUGAUACCGAAGCCAAAGCUGAGGCACCCGGAUUACAAGCCCACGAAGAACACGGGCACGUUUUGUUGCUACCACGAGCAUAACGGCCAUGACGGCGAGAAGUGUAUCACCCUUCGUGAUCAUAUUAAAGCUUUGGCACGUGAAGGAAAAAUUGAUAAAUUCCCCCUUUACCCUCCAAGGGGUAACCAUAACCAACGCCAGGUAAAUGUGAUAUAUUCCAUAAGUGGUGGCACACCCAUAUCUAAAUCUUCCAACAGGGCUAUGAAAAAUAGUGAAUGAGCUUUAAGGUCUGAUCACCAAGUGUUUCAUGUGGAAGACAUCAGGGGAACUAAGUAUCAAAAGCCUAACUCGGAUCCAAUAUGUUUCUACCCUAAGGAAGAAAGAGGUAUCAUCUACCCUCACAACGACCCACUGAUCGUGGAAGCUCACAUAACCAACUUUGAAGUACGACGAAUCCUGGUAGACACAGGGGCUUCGGUCAAUAUCAUGUUUGCUGAAGCUUUCAGGGCACUUAAUAUAGCUGAACACUUGCUCGACCGCUCGAUUUCCCCUCUGAUAAGCUUCUCCGGUGAUAUCGUGCAACCUUUGGGGAGCAUACACUUACUUUUCACCAUUGGUACAUGCCCUUACACAGCUACCAUUACCACUAACUUCCUGGUGGUUGAUUGCCUAACGGCAUACAAUGUCAUCUUCGGACACAUAUGCAUCAAUGAUCUCAAGGCCAUGAUAUCCACACAUAUGUUGUUGAUGAAAUUUCCAACCCCCUAUGGUAAUGGUUACAUCAAAAGAGACCAACUUAGUGCACGAUCAUGUUACAACACUUCGGUCAAGCAACAACACCUGUCUGUGCCCAAGGAAACCCUUUCUAUACAUGACCAAGUCAUAAAGACCAGCCCAGAUGAAGCCAACUUGGAUCUUCACAGUGGGAACAGUCAACCAGACGAUCCUCGAGAUGACUUUUUCACCCAGCAAGCACAACCUGCUGAAGAGUUGGAGAAGGUCUCUAUCUCAAAAGAUUAUCCGGAUCGCAUGGUGAAGAUUGGUACCACCUUGUCACCACCCAUUCGGUUGGCAUUGAUCUCUUUUUUGCAAGAGAACACUGAGGUCUUCGCUUGGUCAUACGAGGACAUGCCAGGCAUCUCUCCCGAUAUAAUCUGUCAUCGUUUAAGUAUUGACCCCAAGACCAAACCAGUGAGACAGAAGCGAAGAUCUUAUGACGCUGAACGGUACGAGGCAAUGAAGGCAGAAGUUGAAAAACUCAAAACCAUAAGCUUCGUCCGCGAAGUCAAUUAUCCAAUGUGGGUAGCAAAUGUUGUCCUUGUUAAGAAGAAUCCGACCAAGGAAAGUCUCCUGCUCCAAAAGGUCUUGUGGAGAAUGUGUGUCGAUUACACCGACCUAAACAAUUGAUGCCCAAAGGAUAGCUUUCCUCUUCCUCUCAUAGACAGACUUAUAGACUCUACGACAGGGUGUGAACUUCUGAGCUUCAUGGAUGCUUACUCAGGAUACAACCAAAUUUUCAUGAACCCUCCAGACCAAGAACACACAACCUUCACUACUGACAAGGGACUAUAUUGCUAUAAAGUCAUGCCAUUCGGCCUAAAGAAUGCAGGAGCAACUUAUCAGAGAUUGGUCAAUUCAAUGUUUGCCGAACAGAUUGGGAAUAUCAUGGAAGUUUACGUUGAUGAUAUACUAGUUAAGAGCAAACAUGCUGACCAACACAUCACCAACCUAUCUGAAACUUUCACCAUUCUGAAGAGGUAUCGAAUGAGGUUGAACCUCAACAAAUGUGCCUUUGGCGUAGGCUCUGGCAAAUUCUUAGUCUUCAUGAUAAGCCAACGAGGCAUUGAGGCUAAUCCCGAGAAGAUCAAAGCAAUCCUCGACAUGAAGGAACCGGUAACUUCAAAAGACAUUCAGAGCCUUACUAGCAAGGGGGCAGCCUUAACUAGGUCAAUCUCUAAGGCCAUCGACAGAUGUGCUUCUUUCUUCAAAGCACUUAAGGGAAGUAAGAAGUACAUUACAUGGACUGAUGAAUGUGCUGAGGCAUUCAAGAACCUCAAAGACUACAUGAGUAAAUCCCAUUUCCUCUCCAAACCUAAGGUUGGUGACACUCUCAUUAUCUAUCUGUCGGUAUCGGCUUCAGCAGUAAGUUCCGUUCUCAUUCGAAAUGAUGGUAAUGUCGAACGGCCUGUCUACUACGCUAGCAAGGCCUUACAAGAUGCGGAGACACGAUACUCCAACAUUGAGAAAUUGGCUCUAGCAUUGGUCAUGUCUGCUCGAAAACUUCGCCCUUACUUCCAAGCACACUCCAUCAUCGUGCUUACCAAUCAUCCUCUUCGACAGAUACUCCAAAUUCCUGACACUUCCGGGCGAAUGAUCAAAUGGGCGAUAGCAUUGGGUGAGUUUGACAUCUCCUACCAACCAAAGCCAGCUGAAAAAGGCCAAGCAGUGGCAAACUUCAUCGCCGACUUCACAUAUCAUGUUAACAUUGUUUCUACGCCUAAAGAAGUGGUUUCAUUACCCUCGGAAGCUUAUAAAAGAGAACCAACAGCCCCAGCAUGGAGUUUAUAUGUUGAUGGCUCGUCCAACCAACAAGGUUGUGGAGCAGGACUAGUCCUUACGACCCCUGACAAAGUGGCGAUGAAAUAUGCUCUUCGUUUUAAAUUCAAGGUGUCAAACAAUGAGGCCGAAUAUGAAGCCCUCCUAGCAGGCUUACGUUUGGCCAAACACCUUAGGGUUAAACAAAUUGAUAUCUUCAGUAACUCCCAAUUGGUGGUUAACCAAGUCACCAACAACUUUGACGCUAAGGAUAACUCCAUGACAGCAUAUCUGGCACAAACACAAUUGUUGCUCAAACACUUCCACUACAGAUCACCCAAAUUCCUCGAGCGGCAAACAGUCAUGCAAAUGCUUUGUCUCGCCUUGCCUCAGCAGUGGAAGACAAGAUUGGGAGAAAAAUUCAGAUCGAAUUGUUGGCAGCACCAAGCAUCAUGGCUGCGGAAGUGUGCAACUUACAACAAGAAGAUAGUUGGAUUACCCCGAUUUAUGGAUUCCUUGCUCAUGGCACCCUUCCAAAUGACAAAGUCCAAGCUAAGCAGAUUCGAUACAAGGCUACUCGUUACUUGAUCAUUAAUGACCAACUCUACAAGCGGGGUUUUGACUUACCAUACCUAAGAUGCCUCGUAGAUGUGGAAACUGUCAUUCGGGAAAUACAUGAAGGAGUCUGUGGAGAUCAUGCUGGAUCUCGAUCCCUAGCACACAAGGCUUUUCACCAAGGAUGUUACCAGCCAACACUCCACCAAGAUGCUAUCAGAAUAUCCCGCUCAUGUGAUAAGUGUCAACGCUACGCAACUAUUCCUCACUCUCCUCCUGAGCCACUCACUCCUAUGAUCAGCCCUUGGCCCUUGGCCCAAUGGGGACUUGAUUUGAUAGGCCCAAUGCCUGCAAGGAAGGGCAAGGUUCGCUAUGCAAUCGUUGCAGUUGAUUACUUCACAAAGUGGGCCGAAGUAGAACCCUUGGCAACCAUUACUGAAGCAAAAAUAAAAGACUUCGUAUGGAAGAACAGAUUCGGCAUUCCCAAUGCGAUAGUCACUGACAACGGGCGACAGUUCGACAACAAUAAGUUCAUGAUGUUCUGCUUUAAGUUCAACAUCAACUUAUGUUUUGCCUCCCCAGCUCAUCCCCAGUUUAAUGGACAAGUUGAAGCCAUCAACAAAAUAAUCAAGUGAACUUUGAAAACCAGCUUGGGCAAGGCUAAUGGUUGUUGGCCAGAAUUUGUACCCCAAGUUCUUUGGUCAUACUGCACUUCAUAUCGGACAUCAACAAGAGAAACCCCAUUCUCACUUGCCUUUGGUACAGAGGCAGUUGUCCCAGUUGAGCUUGAGCAAACAACGUUCCGAGACCAGAACUACGUGCAAAGCGAAAAUGACAAACAACUUACCCUCAACUUAGAUCUAGUCGAGGAACACAUAAACCAGGCUCAUUUGAGGAAUGUUGCCUACAAGCAGCGCAUCUCCAUCUACUAUGACUCAAGGGUCAAACCUUGUUCUUUCAAAGUGGAGGACUGCGUAUUGAAGAAAAGAUUACUCUGCGACAGAGUCCCGAGUGAAGGAACACUUAGUCCAAACUGGGAUGGACCGUUUGAAGUUGUUGGCAUCAGUCGCCCUGGCUCCUACAAGCUUAGAAGCUUCGAUGGUAAGACCCUUGGCCAUCCAUGAAACGCUGAUCACUUGAAGUACUAUUACAAGUAAACUCACAUUGUACAAGUGUUAAGCUUCAGUCGUUCGGCAUCCUAUGUAACGAAGACUAUUUGGCAUGAAUUCAAUAAAGAGGUGAUUUAGACAACUUGAUCCUAAUCCUCUUACAUUCCUAGUAAUGAAACACUUGGGUUCAAAGCUUCAACAUGAAUGCUUCCAACAUGAAACAAAGCCUAAGUAUAUGUCAACAAGACUAUACAAAUAAAUGAACAGCUUCACAGUAUAUUCGUUCAAUCAUACAUUCCAACACAUUCAUACAUAAGCCAAUUGUCCUUUGUAAAGGUUCAACAUAUUUUGUGUCAUUUGACACUUGCUACAAUAUUACUAGACACCUUGCCCUUAUUCUCACCAACCAGGUGAUGAAAUGUGAAGAAGGAACUCAUCUUCAUGCCACCAACCAGGUGAUGAAAUGUACAACCUGUACUCUCUUUCAUACCACCAACCAGGUGAUGAAAUGUACAACCCGUACUCUAAUAUCAUUUGGCAACUUGCCACUCAUGCCACCAACCAGGUGAAGAAGGAACUCAUUUUCAUGCCACCAACCAGGUGAUGAAAUGUAUAACCCGUACUCUCCUUCAUGCCACCAAACAGGUGAUGAAAUGUACAACUCGUACUCUCAUUCAUGCCACCAACCAGGUGAUGAAAUGCAAAACCAAUUUAUGGUGCCAACAAGAGCUUCAUCAAUGGAGGGCAACCACAAUUCUCAAAGGCUUCACACACUCUUGAUCAAGACAGUGUGAAGCAAAACCAAUUUAUGGUGCCAACAAGAGCUUCAUCAAUGGAGGGCAACCACAAUUCUCAAAAGGUUCACACACUUUUGAUCAAGACAAUGUGAAGCAAAACCAAUUUAUGGUGCCAACAAGAGCUUCAUCAAUGGAGGGCAACCAUAAUUCUCAGAAGCUUCACACACUCUUGAUUAAGACAGUGUGAAGCAAAACCAAUUUAUGAUGCCAACAAGACCUUCAUCAAAGGAGUUCAACCAUAAUUAUCAAAAGCUUCACACACUCUUGAUUAAGACAGUGUGAAGCAAAACCAAUUUAUGGUGCCAACAAGAGCUUCAUCAAUGGAGGGUAACCACAAUUCUCAAAAGCUUCACACACUCUUGAUCAAGACAGUGUGAAGCAAAACCAAUUUAUGGUGCCAACAAAAGCUUCAUCAAAGGAGUUCAACCAUAAUUCUCAAAAGCAUCACACACUCUUGAUCACGACAGUGUGAAGCAAAACCAAUUUAUGGUGCCAACAAAAGCUUCAUCAAUGGAGGGCAACUACAAUUCUCAGACUUUCGAAGCAAAUUAAAUUAUAUGGUUCAUCCAAACCUUCGACCACUACAAGAUGUGGCUUGCAUCACAAUCUCUUGCUUAACAGUGUGGAAGCAAAAUUUGUAUAUGUUGUCUCUUUCACAUUCUCAAAUUUCUAGUUUCCCAAAAAAAAAAAAAAAAGAAGGGAAAUUCAACAAAGCUUCAUCAAUGGAGGACAACUACAAAUUCUCAAAAGCUUCACAUUAUCUUGAUCAAGAUAGUGUGAAGCAAAAUCAAUUCAUGAUACCCAACAAAAGCUUCAACUCCAAAGCUUCACCUACAAAGCUUCAACUCCAAAGCUUCACCAACAAAAGCUUCAUCAAUGGAGGACAACAACAAAUUCUCAAAAGCUUCACACUAUCUUCAUCAAGAUAGUGUGAAGCAAAAUCAAUUCAUGGUACCCAACAAAAGCUUGACCUACAAAAGCUUGACCCACAAAAGCUUGACCUACAAAAGCUUGACCUACAAAAGCUUGACCCAUAAAAGCUUGACCUACAAAAGCUUCACAUACAAAAGCUUCACACUAUCUUGAUUAAGAUAGUGUGAAGCAAAAUCAAUUCAUGGUGCCCAACAAAGCUUGACCUACAAAAGCUUCACUCACAAAAGCUUCACCCAUAAAAGUUUGACCCACAAAAGCUUCACCUACAAAAGCUUGACCCACAAUAGCUUCACCUACAAAAGCUUGACCCACAAAAGCUUGACCCAUAAAAGCUUGACCUACAAAAGCUUCACCUACAAAAGCUUCACACUAACUUGAUCAAGAUAGUGUGAAGUAAAAUCAAUUCAUGGUGCCCAACAAAGCUUCACCCACAAAAGCUUGACCCAUAAAAGCUUGAUCCACAAAAGCUUCACCUACAAAAGUUUGGCCCACAAAAACUUGACCCAUAAAAGCUUGACCUACAAAAGCUUGACCUACAAAAGCUUCACACUAUCUUGAUCAAGAUAGUGUGAAGCAAAAUCAAUUCAUGGUGCCCAACAAAGCUUGACCUACAAAAGCUUCACCCACAAAAUCUUGACCCAUAAAAGCUUCACCCACAAAAGCUUCACCUAUAAAAGCUUGACCCACAAAAGCUUCACUUACAAAAGCUUGACCCACAAAAUCUUCACCUACAAAACUUCAACACAAAAGCUUCACCUACAAAAGCUUCACACUAUCUUGAUCAAGAUAGUGUGAAGCAAAAUCAAUUCAUGGUGCCCAACAAAGCUUCAACCUCAAAGCUUCACCUACAAAGUUUCAACACCAAAGCUUCACCUACAAAGUUUAAAAAAAAAAAAUAUAUAUAUAUAUAUAAAUUUUUUUUUUUGGAAAUCGAAAAUUCAAAAAUUCGGAAAUUCAAAAAAUUUGGAAAUUAAAAAAAAAAUUCGAAAAAAAAAAAAACAAAUUUGCCUAGGCCUCCUCUUCUUUGGGCUUAACAACUUUAAUAACAAAUAUAUAUGAAGAAGGAGUUUUGGGCUACCACUUAGAAAGGAAAUGCCUCAUUCGUGAACUUCCUCGACCAGAGACUUGGGGGACUCCUACCAUAUGCUACUGCACCUUGAUACUCGGAAGUCUCACGACCACUCAGUGACUUGGAUUUUUCAAAUCUGCAAAUGAGAAGUUUUCCUCACUCGGGAAAUUAAGGGAGCACUACCUCAACCUACAUGCUUCACUCACAAAGCUUCAACAUACAAGCUCCAACAAAAGGAAAAAUUCAAAGAACUUAGUGAAGAAGGCCUUGGUGUAUUUAACACAAUACGUUGAAAUAAAGCAAAGCUUGUUUAUUGAUAUCUCCGAUAAGUUACAAAUAUGUACAUAUACAUGAAUAAAAAUAAACAAAUAAGAGGGAGCCUUCACAAAGGUUGCUCAGGAGAAGUCUCAGCAGUCGGCAGAGCCCUAGAUUGAGGAGGCACCAGAGGGUGAUUAUUCGGAGCCUCAGUACUAGGCAGAACCCCAGAAGGAGGAGGCACCGAAGGUUGAUCAUUUGGAGCUUCAUUAAACGGUACAGCCCUAGAGGACGAAGGCAAUAAAUGCCUUUGGAACAAACCCACAAACCUCUGAUGAUCAAGCAAAAUCUGACCAUCAGGUUCCUGUAGCUGGUCAAGCUUCCUUUUCAUGUUUGUAGGCCGCCAAUGAUUCAACUUGGCGGGUUCGAGCAAAUAGGCGUUGGGCCAUAUUAGACACAGAACCUGCACACUGAACACUGAACACUAUCUUCAACAUCUUAUGCUUCCAGAGACGAUACCACAUCUACCUGAGGAACAGAUAGAGCAAGUGAGAAGGAUACAAGGAAGCAUGUGGAGACAAGCAUAACAAAACACAUGCCAAUACAUCCACUACUUUGUCAAAAGCAAAAGUAUCCCAUAUCAUCACGGUCGAACGUACUCUAGAUUUGAUGGACUUGUUUUGACUCUCAAAUUCUUGAGUCAGCCUUAUACUCUGGAGGAAACCAGAAAACCCUCCAGCCCAGUUCAAGAAUAAGCCUGUGGAAAGUUACUUCUUCAAAAGCAAAAGUAUCUCAUAUCAUCUCUUCUCCAUUUGCUUCUCCUUAUCCUUGUUACUGUUUACGACACAAGGAGAAGGAGAACAAUCAACCGGAAGCCGAAGUCGAACCUCCGAUCCAAGUUGCUUGCUUGGAAGUCUGAUUGCUUACCUUGUUGUUACCUCUUUCGGUAAAUCUCCUAGCUCGGCGACUUGGGGGACUCCUACUAUAGGGUUUUGUAUCGCACUUGACCAAGCCCAAAACUACAAGUAAGCUUCAAGUGAAAUUGAUACAUUACCUUGUGCAUCUUCAUCGAUUAAAGAGACCACCCCUGGAUGGAGGAAAAGUACUUCCAGAGAAGAUACCAUAUCUACAUAUGAGACAGAUAAGGCAAGCGAAAAUGAUACCACACUUCGGUACUUAGAAGUUUCGUGAUUACUCAAUGGCUUGGAUCUUAGAAGUCCCCAACCGAGGAGCUUCACUCACUCGGGAACUUAGGGAGCACUGUUUGUACCAUACUUAACCAAUCUCGAAACUACUGAGCACCGGUCAACGUUAUACUGUCAAAGACACAAAAGAGUUUCCCUCCAACCAGGAGGACAAAACUUACUGCUGAAGCUGAUACCGAUAGAUAGAUAAUGAGAGUGUCACCAACCUCAGGUUUAGAUAGCAGAGAGGCUUUACUCAUGUAGUCCUUGAGGUUCAUGAAUGCCUCGGCACAUUCAUCAGUCCAUGUAAUGUACUUCUUACUUCCCUUAAGUGCUUUGAAGAAAUAAGCACAUCUGUUUGUGGCCUUAGAUAUGAACCUAGUUAAGGUGGCCACCUUUCCAGUAAGGCUCUGUAUGUCUUUUGAAGUUACUGGUUCCUUCAUGUCGAGGAUUACUUUGAUCUUCUCGGGAUUAGCCUCAAUGCCUCAUUGGUUUAUCAUGAAACUUAAGAAUUUGCCAAAGCCUACGUCGAAGGCACAUUUGUUGGGGUUCAACCUCAUUCGAUACCUCUUCAGGAUGGUGAAAGUUUUAGAUAGGUUGGUGAUGUGUUGGUUAGCAUAUUUGCUCUUGAAUAGCAUAUCAUCAACGUAAACUUCCAUGCCCUUCCCAAUCUGUUCAGCGAACAUUGAAUUGACUAGUCUCUGAUAAGUCGCUCCUGCAUUCUUUAGGCCGAAGGGCAUGACUUUAUAGCAAUAUAGCCCCCUAUCAGUAGUGAAGGCUGUGUGUUCUUAGUCCGGAGAGUUCAUGAGGAUUUGGUUGUAUCCUGAGUAAGCGUCCAUGAAGCUCAGGAGUUCAUACCCUGCCGUAGAGUUUAUAAGUCUGUCUAUGAGAGGAAGAGAAAAACUAUCCUUCGGGCAUCCUUUGUUUAGGUCAAUGUAAUCAACACACAUUCUCCACAAGACCUUUUGGAGCAGGAGACUUUCCUUGGUCGGAUUCUUCUUAACAAGGACAACAUUUGCUACCCACGUUGGAUAAUUAACUUCGCGGAUGAAGCCUAUGCCUUUGAGUUUUUCAACUUCUGCCUUUAUUGCCUCGUACCAUUUAGCGUCAUAAGAUCUUCGCUUCUGUCUCACUGGUUUGGUCUUGGGGUUAAUACUUAAGCGAUGACAGAUGAUAUCGAGAGAGAUGUCUAGCAUGUCCUCGUAUGACCAUGCGAAGACCUUAGUGUUCUCUUGCAAAAAAGAGAUCAAUGUCAAUCGAAUGGGUGGUGACAAGGUGGUGCCAAUCUUUACCAUGCGAUAUGGAUAAUAUUUUGAGAUAGAAACCUUCUCUAACUCUUCAGCGGGUUGUGCUUAUUGGGUGAAAGAAUCGUCUCGAUGAUCGUCGGGUUGACUAUUGCCACUGUGAAGAUCUCAGUUGGCUUCGUUGGGCAGGUCUUUAUGACUUGGUUAUGUAUAGAAAGGGUUUCCUUGGGCAUAAGUAGGUGUUGUUGCUUGACCGAAGUGUUGUAACAUGAUCGUGCACUAAGUUGAUCUCCUCUGAUGUAACCAUUGCCAUAGGGGGUUGGAAAUUUCAUCAACAACAUAUGUGUGUAUACCAUGGCCUUAAGAUCAUUGAUACCUGUGCGUCUGAAGAUGACAUUGUAUGCCGUUGGGCAAUCAACCACCAGGAAGUUAGUGGUAAUGGUAGCUAUGCAAGGGCAUGUACCGAUGGUGAAAGGUAAGUGUAUGCUCCCUAAAGGUUGCACGAUAUCACCAGAAAAGCUUAUCAGAGGAGAAAUUGAGCGAUCGAGCAAGUAUUCAGCUACAUUAAGUACCCUGAAAGCUUCAACAAACAUGAUAUUGACCGAAGCCCCCGUGUCUACCAGGAUUCGUCGUACUUCAAAGUUAGCUAUGUGAGCUUCCACGAUCAGUGGGUCGUUCUGAGGGUAGAUGAUACCUCUUUCUUCCUCAGGGUAGAAACAUAUUGGAUCCCAGUUAGGCUUUUGAUACUUGCCUCCCCUGAUGUCUUCCACGUGAAACACUUGGUGGCUAGGCCUUAAAGCUCGUUCGCUAUUUUGCAUAGCCUUGUUAGAAGAUUUAGAUAUGGGUGUGCCACCACUUAUGGAAUAUAUCACAUUCACCUGGCUUUGGUUAUGGUUACCCCUUGGAGGGUGAAGGAGGAAUUGAUCAAUUUUUCCUUCACAUGACAAAGCUUCAAUAUGAUCAUGAAGGGUGAUACACUUCUCGCCGUCAUGGUCGUUAUGCUCGUGGUAGCAGCAAAAUGUGCCCGUGUUCUUCGUGGCUUGUAAUCCGGGUGCCUCGGCUUUGGUUUCGGUAUCAAAUGUGCUAUGCUGGGGUAAAUGGCCACACAUAUGGCGUUCAAAAGUGUGUAUGCCUCAUACCUCAGGGUAGGGCAUGUCCUGACACGUGCUAGACCCACUAUGUUGACUACCUGGGGUCGAGGAUUAUCGUGGCGAUACCCUUGGUUAUCACGGUAGUGUCCCUUGCUCCUUUCACUAAAAUGAGACUGGUGAGGAUGGAAAUCUUUCCUUUUGCCCUGAGAUUGAUAUGUCUGUUGACUUGGCAAAGUAUUAAGUAAGGCAGGGGGAGGCACCGCUGCCGUUUGGAAGGUUGAGGUCUUCUUAUUUGGGUGGGUCUGGCUUCCACUUCCCACUUGUUAAUAGGGGAAGGUUGUUGAGGGUUUCUCUUGGUAUGUCAUUGCCUUAACGGAGGCAUUGUUAUAAGCAUGUGCCAUCACCUCAGAGUAAGUCUUCCAAUUAUGUACUUAAAGAAACAGUCACGUAGGGCUUGCCGUGAAGGCUUUGAAGGCAGUCUUGUCAUUUGCCUCGGCACAACGGGAAUACUCAUGGCUGAAACGGCCAGCAUACUUACGUAAUAACUCGUCUGGCUUAUGGUGAAUAGUGUACAAGUCAUCCGUAAAGUGCAAGCGAUCGGUCUGGAAAAUGUGUUGAGAAACAAAAUGUUUCCUCAAUUCCUCAAAUGAGUCUCCCGUCUCAGAUGGAAGACGGCAAUGCCAGUUUAGAGCUCCACCAGAGAGGGUAGAGGGAAGAGAAGACAUCGCUCUUCGUUGGUGUGCAUCUGGUAUGCCAUGGUGGACUCAAAAGGUUAAGGUGUUCAAUUGGGUCCUCCUUUCCAGUAUAGAGUUGCAACCCAAGCUUCUGCUUUGUCUUUGCUUAGAGAGGGGUGUCGAGGAUCCUCCUUGUAAGAGGGCCAGGCCUAGGUGGUUUCAAUUAGGUAUCUUAACUUGUCGUUCGGCCUUCAACUUGUUUACUUCCUUAAAUAGUUGUAGGACAAGAGGGUCUUGAGUGGAGUCAUGUACCACUGGAGCUUUCUUUCGUAAAUCUCUAUCUCCUCUUGGAAGUAGGAAGGUUUGAUCAAGAGCAUGUGAUUUUUCCCUGGACACGCCGUACUGACUUCCAAGGUAUAUUUGUCGAAACAUCUCUGAGUCCCCUAUACCUUUGUGUUUCUCUAGGACUUAUUGCCCCUUCCUCAAAUUGGUAGCUGGCUUAGGACAUGGGAGAUGACCGAGUCUUUUAUAGACCCUUGGGUCAUUGAUCUUUUAACUUACAUGGAUGAGAUUGUCUCGACGUUGAUUUAGGAAGUCUCGACAGUCACGAAAGACGACUUUCGAUCCUUCCACUCCUUCUGUAAGGAGGUGCCUUCCUCCACUCAUCCUGCUUCAGGUCGAAGCAGCUGGGUUAAGAGAAGUCUCAUGUUGGUUGCCAUUUCGAUGAGUAGCUCGCUCCUCAACAGGAAUACCCAUGUCGAGGGCAAAUGACCCUUCGUGUUAGGGGGCACCCAGUUGAUGGUUGACUUCCACAUGGGUGAUGAGCUCGUGUGUUUUAAUAUAUCUAGCCUCGUGGAGCAUCUCAAAAAGCUUCUUAUACUGCUCUUGGAGGAUCUCAUUCUUCAUCGUUAUCUUGUUGUUCUGAGCCUCUAACUCAUCAACUUUAGCCUGAAGAGCAAAUUUCUUUUGUUCCUUCUUUCGUUGUUUCGCACCAGGUGCAAGAGGGGUGUCAUUUUGUGUGCUAUGGCUUCAUUCGCUCCCUAUGUUGGAAAGGGAUGUCUGGUCAAAAUAGAGUGUACGAAUAGUGGAAACCAGCUUAACAAAGCUGAAAAGAGUGGGAAUAAGUGUUGUUCCCACAGAUGGCGCCAAAUGUUGAUGUACAAAAUCAGUGAGGACUUUGGUACAACAGAAAAUGUUAAGUUUGUGACCUUCGCUAGAUUGCUCCGGCUAAUAGUGUGAAUAAUUAUGUAAAUGGAUAGAGACAGGGAAGCAAACACAAGAUAUACAUGGUUAACCCAAAUUGGCUACGUCCAUGGAGUAUAAGAGUUCUCAUUAAUUGUGAAGGGUUUACCCAAGUACAUAGGUUCAAGCUCUCAUUUAGUGAGUUCUAGUGAAUGAUUUAGUACAAAUGACAUUAGGUAAUAUUGUGGGAGAAUGAUCUCCUUUUAUAGAAGAGAGUUUCUAGCUUUGUUUUGACAUUGACACGUGUCGUGUUGUGAUUGGCUUCCGAUGUUGACACGUGUCGCGUUGCGAUUGGCCUCUUGGUU
rnacentral:lncRNA from 1 species